rnacentral:rRNA from 1 species
UAGUUUGAUCCUGGCUCAGGAUGAACGCUAGCGGCAGGCUUAACACAUGCAAGUCGAGGGGCAGCAGUCCCGCUUUCGGGCGGGAGCUGGCGACCGGCGCACGGGUGCGUAACGCGUAUACAACCUACCUUAUAGAGGGGGAUAGCCCGGGGAAACCCGGAUUAAUACCCCACAGUAUUAGAGAAUAGCAUUAUUUUCUGAUUAAACAUUUAUGGCUAUAAGAUGGGUAUGCGUCCUAUUAGUUAGUUGGAAAGGUAACGGCUCACCAAGACUUCGAUAGGUAGGGGUCCUGAGAGGGAGAUCCCCCACACUGGUACUGAGACACGGACCAGACUCCUACGGGAGGCAGCAGUGAGGAAUAUUGGACAAUGGGCGGGAGCCUGAUCCAGCCAUGCCGCGUGCAGGAAGACGGCCCUAUGGGUUGUAAACUGCUUUUAUACGGGAAGAAACACCCUCACGCGUGAGGGCUUGACGGUACCGUAAGAAUAAGGAUCGGCUAACUCCGUGCCAGCAGCCGCGGUAAUACGGAGGAUCCAAGCGUUAUCCGGAAUCAUUGGGUUUAAAGGGUCCGUAGGCGGGACAAUCAGUCAGCGGUGAAAGUCUGUGGCUCAACCAUAGAAUUGCCAUUGAUACUGUUGUCCUUGAGUGUUUAUGAAGUGGUUGGAAUAUGUAGUGUAGCGGUGAAAUGCAUAGAUAUUACAUAGAACACCGAUUGCGAAGGCAGAUCACUAAUAAAAUACUGACGCUGAUGGACGAAAGCGUAGGUAGCGAACAGGAAUAGAUACCCUGGUAGUCUAC